AACGUUGAAACACCGGUUCUCGUACGAUCACCGAAGUUAAGCAACAUCGAGCCUGGUCAAUACCUACAUGGGUUGCCGCUUAGGAAUACCAAGUGCUGUAA
rnacentral:rRNA from 1 species